rnacentral:lncRNA from 1 species
UAAAUCUUUCUAUCAUUUGUAUUUUACUCUGAAAGGUUUUUGGCUGUAAGCUAAUUUAAAUAUUACAAAUAAUAAAUUACAAAUGAAAAGUGAAGGCAUGUUUAAUUUUUUUUUUAAAUCUAUAUAAACACAAUAAAGACAGCAUCGUUUAUAUAAAUAUAUAUUUGUGUUUUUUGUGCUAUGUUUACUAGAAAUCAUGUUUAAUAUAUUUAUAGUGCAUGUAUUUUUGACAUAAAAAAAAGGUUCCACAUGACAUUUGUUCAGAUGAACAGUUUGAAGUGAAAUGAACAGUUUUUACUACUGCUGUUUAAAUCAGAAGCACUCUCUUUGUCUUGAUGCUCUCGUCUAAUGACAUGAAAUGAAAAGCCAUGUACCAAGUGCUCUUAUUGCAAAAUUGUUGCUAAAUUUUCUACAAUCGUGUAAACUCGGGUUAGCUGUCUUCCUCUAUGAGUGCUGCAUCUCCAGCAUCUGUUUUAUACCCACCAUUUAUGUUCAUUUUGUGAACUUGUGUCUCAGUCUUACUGACUGAUGGAGUUUUUGAUUGUGUUUUGAAGGGUGGAGAGAGAAAGUUCAGCUGGCACAAUUAACUUUCCCCUCGUUUUCCAUUUUUUCCUGUUUCCUGUCGUUCUGUGCAUUUAAUUAAGCCUCACUCAUUUCCUUCUCUCUUUGCAGACUAUCAGCUGCGGACUCAGUAAACGUGAAGAAUUAGCCUAGAGGAUCAUGGGUCAAGGAAGCGUCUCUGUCUCUCUUUCUGCUAUUUCAUGCAGUCGCAGCGCAGUCCUUGUCCAGCGGCACCACGUCACAUCUCAGCAGAGGAAGUGUUCAUACGUGUCACAUUUCAGAUGUUUUCAUACUGUAAACACGUCAUGUUUAGAACGGAGAGCCGUUCGUUUGCGGUUAUUUAUCAGAUGAAUUCAACAACAGUCGUAAGGUCACAGCGAUAGUAUGUUGCAGAUUACAGUGUUUGUUACGUUAAUUAAAAAGUAAAAAAGGUCAGAUGAUUCGACUCUUAUUGAAGCGUUUGUAUUUCUAGGUCAUUAUUUUGUUCAGGGACGUCUUCAGAUAUUGUUUAUUAAUAUUCAGUAUUUUUUUUUACUUCAUUCCUGCACACUGACUCUUUAGGGUUUUUUUAUUUUAGAGUUUAUUUAUAGUAUGUUCAGUAUUAUCAGCUGCUCUGGGAUCUGUUCACAGAACUGCACAACUGAAAUCUAAAGUCAACCGCGGUGCCAUUUUAAAAACAGGAGAUGAAAUAGAAAAUGUUUGUUUUUUUGUAUUAAGUUGUCGAUUUGUCUCAUUUCAUUUUGAAUGUGGAGGUUACCAUGUUUACUGUGGUACAGCAUGCAGUGGAGCUGAAAUGUGACAUAAUUGCAUUCCUCUUGAAAUGUUCCUGUAUCUCACUUAAAUAAUUGACCUCUCUGUGCACGUCAGACAUCAAUAAAGUACCUGUUUAGAAAAUACCUGGUCUGAUCCAUCUCAUAAUUACUAUUGGAAAAUAGCCAAAUAUUUAUUUUAUUUAUUUGGCAUAAUAUAUAAUAUACAUACUUCAAUCAGGUUUGAAAUUGG